rnacentral:piRNA from 1 species
UACCUAUAUGAAUGAAUCUGGAGUGCCUA